rnacentral:lncRNA from 1 species
AAAUGUUGGUUUUGCAACGGUAUAGGACACAAGAAGUCAAACUGUCAUGCCUUUAAGAAUUCAAUCCAAAGUGAAACCCAAGGUAAGCCUUAUGCUUUAGUUUGUUUUGAGUCUAAUAUGGUAGAUAUUCCUUUAAACUCAUGGUGGUUAGAUUCGGGGGCAUCAAUUCAUGUUUCUAAUUCUUUACAGGGGUUCAAGACAAAGAAAAAACCAAGUGAAGUUAAAGGGAACCUGUUUGUAGGAAAUGGAAAUAGGGUUAAUGUGCAAUUUAUAGGAAUAGUAGAAUUAAGAUUAGAAUCUGGUUUCAUUUUGCAAUUAAGAGAUACUCUGUAUGUUCCCUCUAUGAGGCGUAAUUUAAUUUCUGUGUCAAAACUUGAUGAUUGUGGAUUUUCUUUUAGUUUUCAUAAAGGAUUAUGUUUGUUAUCUUAUAAUUCCAAACCUGUCGGAAAAGCCCAUAAACAUGAUGGUUUAUAUAGUUUGGAAUUGGAUUCAAAUAUUUAUAAUAGUCUACAUGUUCAAAAUAUUGGAUAUAAGAGACCUUUAUUAAAGGACACUUCACUCGCUUUGUGGCAUGGGCGCCUAGGGCAUAUCUCUAAGGAUAGGAUUAAUAGAUUGAUUAAAGAUGAACUCUUACCACCCCUUGAUAUUAGUAACUUUGAUGAAUGUGUGGAUUGCAUAAGAGAGAAAUUUACAAGAAAAAAUAGGAAGGGUUCUAAUAGAAGUAGAGAGCUUUUAGAGAUAAUUCACACUGAUAUAUGUGGUCCUUUAAGAACAACCUUGUGUGGAAAUAAGUACUUUAUAACAUUCAUAGAUGAUUAUUCUCGUUUUGGUUAUGUCUACUUGAUUAAUGAGAAGUCUUUGUCCCUUGAAAAGUUUAAAAUUUUUAAGACAGGUCGAAAAUCAAUGUGGCACAAAGAUUAAGAUAGUUAGAUCGGAUAGAGGUGGUGAAUAUUAUGGUAGACACGGUGAGACUGGACAAUAUAUGGGACCUUUUGCCAAAUACCUUGAGGAAUGUGGAAUCAUAUGUCAAUAUACUAUGCCCAGUACUCCUGAACAAAAUGGUGUGGCUGAGAGGCGUAACCGUACAUUGAUGGAUAUGGUAAGAUCCAUGAUGAGUCAUUCUAAAUUACCAGAUUUCCUUUGGGGAGAAGCCCUUAAGGCGGCUAUGUAUAUAUUAAAUAGGGUACCAUCUAAGGCUGUACCUAAGACACCUUUUGAGUUGCUUAAAAGGAUGGAAACCUAGUCUAAAUCAUCUUCGUACAUGGGGGUGUGCAGCUGAGGUUAAAAUUUAUGAUCCGACUGCAUCAAAGUUUAAGCCCUAAGACGACUAGGUGUUAUUUUAUUGGUUAUCCUAAUAAUGCUAAGGGGUAUAGAUUUUAUUGUCCUACUCGAGGAACAAAAAUAAUAGAAGCCAUUAAUGCAAAGUUUCUUGAGAAUGAUGUUGGUGAUUCAAUUGGUCAUGAAACUGGAGAAUCAAGUUCUAAAGGAGAAAAGGUUCUAAUACAUAUACCUAUUAUACAAGAAAGAGUUGAGAUACCUUUAGUUGAGCAAACAACCGAGGAACCACAACCAACCAUCUUAGAUAAUCCACACCCUCCUGCACCCGCUCCUGAGCAUCAUGUUGAAGCUUUACCCAUUAGACGUUCUCAAAGAGAACGAAGGCCUGUCAAUCGUGAUGAUUACUAUACUUUUCUAGGGGAGAAGGAUUCAAACAUAGGAUGUUUUCCAGAUCCAGAAAAUUAUAGUGAGGCAAUUUGUAGUGAUUUGUCCGAUAAAUGGAUUGAGACUAUGAAUGAUGAAAUAAUUUCGAUGAAUCACAAUAAUGUGUGGGAGCUUGUGGAACUUCCCAAUGGUUAUAAACCUAUAGGAUGCAAGUGGGUUUUUAAAACUAAGAAAGAUGCUAAGGGAAUUGUAGAACGCUUUAAGGUAAGAUUAGUGGCUAAAGGGUUCACACAAAAGGAAGGGAUUGAUUACAAAGAAACAUUCUCUCCUGUAUCAUCAAAGGAUUCUUUUAGAAUUAUAAUGGCUCUUGUGGCACAUUAUGAUUUGGAACUUCAUCAAAUGGAUGUUAAGACGGCUUUCCUGAAUGGUGAUCUCUAUGAGGAUGUGUACAUGCUCAACCUGAGGGUUUCAUAGAGAAUAAUAAAGAACACUUGGUGUGUAAAUUGAAGAAGUCUAUAUAUGGUUUAAAACAAGCAUCAAGGCAGUGGUAUAUUAAGUUUGAUGAAGUUGUUGCUUCCAUGGGUUUUGAGGAGAAUAAGGUGGAUCAAUGUAUAUAUCUCAAGGUCCGUGGGAGUAAAUUCAUUUUCCUUAUUUUGUAUGUAGAUGACAUUCUACUUGCUAGUAAUAACCUAGAUUUACUUUUAGUGACCAAGAAAACCUUGUCCACUUCUUUUGAUAUGAAGGAUCUAGGUGAAGCCUCUUUUUUUGAUUUGGGUAUUGAGAUUCAUAGAGAUAGAAACCAAAAAUUAUUAGGUUUAUCUCAAAAGGCAUAUAUUGAUAGAGUUCUGAAAAGAUUUAAUAUGGAGACUUGCAAGCCUGGAGAUGCUCCAAUAGUUAAAGGAGAUGAACUUAGUAAGGAUCAAUGUCCCAAGAGCAACAUUGAAAUGAAUGCAAUGUCAAAUGUUCCAUAUGCUAGCGCAGUAGGUAGCCUGAUGUAUGCUCAAGUAUGUACAAGACCUGAUUUAUCUUUUGUUGUGAGCGUAUUGGGUAGAUAUUUGUCUAUUCCUGGAUAUGCUCAUUGGGUUGCUGCUAAGAAGGUAAUGCGAUACCUCCAGAAGACAAAGGACUAUAUGCUUGUUUUUAGGGAAGUUGAUGAUUUAAAUGUCAUUGGAUAUUCUGAUGCUGAUUUCGCUGGAUGUCCUGAUGACGAGAAGUCAACUUCUGGAUAUAUCUUCAAGAUGGCUGGCGGUGCUAUAUCCUGGAAGAGCGUUAAGCAAACUCUAACUGCCUCAUCCACAAUGCAAGCAGAGUUUGUUGCAUUGUAUGGUGCUGCAACCCAUUCAAUGUGGUUAAAGAAUUUUAUCUCAGCUCUUGGUAUAGUUGAUUCCAUUUCUCGGCCAUUGAAGAUAUUUUGUGAUAAUAGCUCGGCUGUCUUCUAAACUCGUAAGGAUUAAAUUCUUAGUUGUUAGAGAAAUGGUGGAGGAUAAUGAAAUUGAGGUUGAGCACAUAUCCACCGAAGAAAUGACUGCAGAUCCAUUAACUAAAGGGCUUAGGCCGAUUAUAUUUACAAAACAUGUUGAAAAUAUGGGAAUUGUAAAGUCCUUUGAUAUUUUUAAUUAGUGGGAGCAGACAUUAAUUGUAUGUGUUCAUUUUUAAAUUAAUGAAUUUAUUCUCAUUUUCUUUUGAUUAUUUCUAUCAUGCUUAAAUGCUUUUUUUUAUUUUUUAUUUUUUAUUUCUAAUGGAAAUUUUAUUUGAGAUUUGUCUCUGAUUUCUCUAGUGGAAAUGAUGUUUCAUAUGAAAUGUGAUUUUAAUCUCUUUGGGGAGAUUGUCAUUUCUUUUACGAGAAAGAAGUUGUGUUCCGUAAUGGAAUAGUGUUGCAUUUGAAACAUGAAUCUCUUUUAAGGGAUUUGAUUGUACUUUCUUUGAAAGGUACAAUGAGGACUUGUACACAAUAGUAUACAAUGAUCACAAUAUAUAUACUAUGAUGUGUGUUGCAUUAGUACGCUUAUUUGGUGAUUAUGACAACAAGAAAUGUUAGUUAUGUGGUUGUAGGUGAUAUAAACUCUUAAUAGUCUAAUUUUCACCUAUAGCUCUAGCUGAUAGGUUUUUUGCUUGUCGGCAUUGAUCAUGGUUAAUGGUGUCCUAAUUCAUGCAAACUAUGAUCAAGGUUUAUUGUUCAUUAUGAGUAAAUUAUAUUUCAUGAUCUGUAACUCAUUAACCAUUUAAAAAAUAAUAAUCUUGAUUUGCUUAAUUGAUUUAACUCUAGCACAUAAAUAUCUUAACAAUUACAACAUGUGAAUAGGUUGUAUUUAAGAAAAUUUCUACCGUCCUUGUUAACCUAACACUGAACCAUAACCAUAGAAUUUUAUUUUUCGAGAAAUAAUCAUAUUGAUCCUUAAAUGUGUAACGAAUAGUCAUAAUAGUCUUUCAAUAUAUCAAAAUUUUAAAAUGAUCCUUGAUUGUGCAUUUUGUUACUCAAAUUAAUCUUUAUCGUUAAAAUAGUUUUUCAAUGCUGACAUUAACUCUUUUUAUAGGAUGACUGAUAUGACAGUAAGUAAAUACUUGUAGAGGCUGAUAUGACAAUUAAAGACUAAUUUUUUUGGACUAAUUUGACAAUAUUAAGAAGCAUUUUAACUUAAAAGACUAUUUUGACUUACUCAGUGCACAAUCAGAAACUAUUAUUGAAUUUUUAUACAUUGAUGGAAUAUUGCGACUACGUGUUAUACAUUCACAAACUAAAAUGACUAUUACCCUUUAUUUUUAUGAAGUAAUAACCAGAUAUAUUUAUUAUUUUAACUUUUUCAAAGAAUAUUAUUUUUUAAAUCACUUUUAAAUAUUAUUUUUAUUAAUGUAUUGUUAAUAUUGUAAUAAAAUGUAUAAAAAUUAAGUGAAAAUUGACUUUUUUUUUUGAGGGAAGGUGAAAAUUGACUAAAAUUUCGUAUUUAGCAUCUUAAAUACAUUUCAAUUAAAUAUGUAAUUUUUGAAGAAGAUUCACUACAAACAGAUCCAGCAAUAAAACCAUCAAACCAGUCCCAAAACAACCAAAAAUCUUUGCUUAAGCCUUUGUGAUGGACAAUGAGUUGUUAUGAAGACUAGAUAAAAUUUGAAUUUAUAUCGUAAAAUUUGAAUGUAUGUUUCCAACAUGAUCAAAAUAAUGCUUGAAAUCAAAGUUUAGUGAUAAAUGAUGGAUGAUGUAGGAAAAAUGUAUCCUGACACCAGUUUCAAAGCUUUUCUUCUUUUAUCUUUUUUCUUCAACAUGAUUUUAAGUAGCAGCAAUGUAAUCAGCAGCUAAUUCACCUUCGAUCAACUUAAUUCAAAAGCCUUUCUUUUAAACCAGAGCCUUUAAGCAUCCUGCCAUGGAAUAGUCUUAACAACUCUAAACCCAUUUGGGGUUGGCCUAGUGGUUGGCUUGGGAUCUUGGAGUUUGCUCCUCCAGAGGUCUCAGGUUCGAUUCCCUCUGCCAAUUUCGGUGGGCUAAGUCUUGCUCUGGCUUUAAACGGGGCCCCCGCAAGUGGGCGGUGGAAUUGGUCCCCUCAGAUUAGUCGAUUUUUGGAUCGGAUACCGAGUUUUCAAAAAAAAGUCUUAACAACUCUAAUAAUAAUUUGAUUACAAACGCAGACAUGAAAAAAAAUAACAACAAAGAAAGAAAUCUCAACAACACUAAACCCAGCCAACACAACACCAAAAUGUUAAGGGAGGAACUUAAUUUGCAUGUAAAUGUAGCAUGGUGGUCAAAUCGGGAUAAAUUAACCAAAAAAUAGAACUUAAAAUAUCAUAUAUAAAUUCCAAAAUACUUCAAAUAUCAUAUAUAAACUUCAAGAUAUUUCAAAACUCAAGUCAUAAACAAAAGUAAAUAACAUAAAACAUCCUUAAUUCAAUCAAAAUCAAACAUAACUCAAAAUUUUAAGAAUACUUCAAAACUCAAGUCUAGCCUAGAAUACUUCAAAUUUCAAACGAUUGUCAAUUAUUUUCCAUACUCAAGUGUAAUAUCUAAUGAGUCACACAAACCUGACCCGAUAUUUGAUGGGUCACUUCAAAAAAAAGGGUAAAUUUAGGGUUUUCUGGUCCGCCAAACAAAAAAUCAUCAAAAAAAGUUGUUUUUUCCCCCUAAAAAACAAAGUUUUUUGAUGAUUUUUCUUACAACUUAAUUGUUACAAAAAAAAAAAAACUAUGUUGCUUUUAUCAUUUUUUUUUAAAAUAUAUGUUGCUUUUAUCAUAAAAAAAUAACAAAAAAAAUAUGCAACAAAUAAAUUUGUCGUAAAAACAAGAUAAUUAAUAAGUUGUCGAACUCAACAUCAUACUUAAUAACAAAAUAAUGAAAAUAUACCAACAUAAAAACAAAUACAACAACCAAAAUAAAUCCAAAAGAAAAAAUAAGUCUAAAACAAAAAAGAAAAACAAGUUAAACGGGUCGGUCCACCUCGUCACGAGUCGGCCCGUUUUUUUAACGAGAGUUAAGCGGGGCGAACCAACUUUGAAAAGCGAGUUCAAAACUUCGACUCAGCCCGCCAAAAAUAGCGGGCUAAACGGGCCGGCCCGACGAGUUGGAUCCGUUUUGCCACCCCUAGUUGGUAGGAACAAUGCAUUAUAUAUGCAAAGUCGGGGUUCAAACCCCAUCUAUCACCAAAAAAAAAACAUGCAAAUUUACACCUGAUGGAAAAACCUAAAAAAAAAACAAAACAAUGUUUUCCUUUAACUAAACAAAGCAACCUUGUUCACGUGAGCUUAGCUCAGUUGAUAUGGACAAUGCAUAAUAUAUGUAAGAUCCGAGGUUCAAACUCCUGCCACCAAAAAUAAAAAAACUAAGGCUUAAAUAUGAAAAUUGUCCCUGCAAAUAUCUGACAUUUUGGUUUUAGUCCCUGUAAAAAUAUUUUUUUGGUUUUAGUCCCUGCAAAUAUAAAAAAUUUGGUUUUGGUCCCUGAUAUUUUGUUUUAGUCCUUGUAAAAGUAAUUCAUAUUGGAUUUGGUCCUUGUAAUAUGUAGAAUAUUUGAUUUUAGUCCCUCAAAAUGAGGACUAAAAUGAAUAUUAUAGGGAUCAAGUUCAAUAUGAAAUGAUUUUACAAGGAUUAAAACAAAAUACCAAGGACCAAAACCAAAUAUUCUAUAUUUGCAUGGACUAAAACCAAAAAAAUAUUUUUAUAGGAACUAAAUCCAAAACGCUAGAUAUUUACCGGGACUAUUUUCAUAUUUAAGCCAAAAACUAAACAAAGCAAGAAUAUAAAAGGCAUCAAAGAUUCGUCUUAGUAUGCGACGACCCGAACUCAAUGUUUAUAAGCCAUUCUCUCUCUUCAAAGUUUAUUCCAAAAUUUGAUUCUAUUCAGAUCCCAUAUUCUUCAUUGGUGGAUCCGUUUUUCUGUAUUUGGACAAAACCUCAUUCAUUCCCUAUAUAUUCAUCCUUACCCUCUUCCUCAAACUGUUUUCCCUCAACAACACAUUCAUAUAAAUUUUUAUGGUUUCAAUGCAAUUCCACCACAAAAUGCACUCUCAUAAAAUGGAAUUUCGUGACUAUAUCCUAGCAUUGGAAGAAGAAAAGAAGAAAAUUCAGGUUUUCCCUAGAGACCUUCCUCUUUCUCUUGAGCUUGUUACACAAGGUAAACAAAACAAACCAGAAGAAAAAAAAGAAUAUACCAUUUUUUUAUACCAUGUUAAAGUUUCUUUCAUUGGUUUUUUGGUUUGUGUUUUUCUACUUUUUUCUUAUAUGUUAUGUUUUGUGAAUAUGCAGCCAUUGAAACUUGUAAGCAACAGUUGUUUGGAACACAAUCGGAGUGUUCGGAACAGACAUCGACAGAUGAAGGUCUUGUUUUUGAGGAGUUUAUUCCUAUCAAGAAAAGGGCAUUGUCCCCCGAUUGCGAUGAAAAUGAUGAGGAAGAUGACGACGAUGAGGAGCAACAUUCAUCACAUAAGAUGAAAUCUGAUUGGCUAAGAUCUGUUCAGUUGUGGAAUCCCAACCCUUCAUCUGCUAAAGAGGUAUAAAAUUGCAAAACCAAAGUCGAAUUUUUUUUGUAGGAUUUAAUCAUGGAAAAUUACACUGGACUGAAAGGCAAACAGACAACAAGUUGUACCACUAACUGUUUCUGGAUGGCAAAACCGAAGUUGAUUUUAAUAAAUGAAUUUUUAUUUUAUAAGCAAACGUUGGUAAAUUAGCGAUUUUGAACUGUGAAACUUUUGAUCAGGACUUCUUCCGCGUCACUCAAUUCAUCAAGCCUAUUGUCUGCUUGAUACAUUGAAUGGAAUUGUUCCUUUAGAACUUUUUGUCUGUUUCAUAAUUGAAAAGAAAUUAAGAGAAUGUGAAAUGUUUGUUCAGGAUGUACCUAGGAAAACAAAUGUCGUAGAAGUGAAGAGAAAUGGUGGAGCAUUUCAACCAUUCCACAAAGAGGAAAUCGCUGCUGAAAAAGAUAAUGCAUUAGAAAGUGAUAAAGCACCAACCAGUUCGCCUCAAGUACCAGCUACAAGUUCUACCGAACCAGUUCCUGAAAGCGGCAGCAAAAAAGACGAUAAAGGUCAGAGAAAGCAGCGCCGUUGCUGGUCACAGGAAUUGCACAAACGCUUCUUGCAUGCCCUUCAACAACUUGGCGGUUCAAAUUGUGAGUGAAUAUAUUACUCAUCAGCAUAAUUAGUACAUUCUUCUAAUUAAUUGUUCCAAAUGUAAUUGUGAAUUGUGCGUGACAUGUUGCAGCUGCGACGCCAAAACAGAUCAGGGAACUAAUGAAAGUCGAUGGCCUCACCAACGAUGAAGUCAAAAGUCAUUUACAGGUUAGUUAUUUUUUGUUCCAUUUCUAUAAUUUGUAUAAUUUUCUGUCUCAGACCUGGAUUAUAUGUGGCUAGUAAACCCUGCAAUCCACGGAUUUUUACCGUGGAUGAAGAUUAGACAUCUCGUAUUCUGAUUAUACCAAAUCAAGCUUAAAUUAUAACUCGAAUACGAGCUGUCUAACCUUUAAUCUAACGGUCAAGAUCCUUGACUAUCAGAAUUGCGACUGCAUAGAACUCGAAUUCAUAUUAGCACAUAUCACUAUACGAUCUUCUUGAUUGUUAAUUUUUCUUGUCUAUGAUCAAAAUUAUGGUCUAACUUUUUUUAAUUUUCGGACAUGGACAGAAAUUUCGUCUGCACACAAGAAGAAGCCCAAUAAUUCACAACAAUUCUAAUUCACAUACAGCUCCUAUGUUCUUGGUAGGGAACAUUUAUGUCCAACCACAAGAAUAUGCUGCAGUAGCCACCAAAACAACAGUGUCAGGAGAAUUAACCACAGUUACUACUCCAACAGGAAUUUAUGCACCUGUGGCUACACAUCCUUCAUCUACAACCACAGUUAUAAAACCAAAGUCUAAGAAAUUUGAGUUGAGUGAGAAUUCACAUUCUGUAGAAAGAGUUGUUGCUCAUUCUAACUCCCCUGCCUCAUCAUGUUCCACUCAUACACCUACAACUUCAAGAUGCUGAAAAAUAAUUCAUUUUUGUAGCUAUGUUUUAGUAGAGUUGUUUUGUUUGGGACUUAAAUUAUACAAGUGAAAAUACAGUGAAAGGAAAGUGACAUUUUUGUAUGUUAAGUAAAUAAAUCGCCCUUCCUAGGCAACAUGUUCAACUUUAUCACAUUGGUGGUCAAUUUGUGCGGUUUCUAUUUUCUUUGGUUAAAAAAAUUGUUCGGUUUUUUUUUUAUCAAGUAGCCUAGUGCUAGAAUUCACCCUUUUCAAGAUGAAUAAGUGGGGUGUCCGGGGUUCGAACCCCUGUUCUUGUAUAUAAUAAUGCAUGUCAAUGUCAAUUGAGCUAUAGGGAUAAAUUGUUCGGUUUCUAAUCGAUUAAAUUACCAUUUUAACAUUGAAAUUGUACUGGUUGAAUAAUUUGAUACUUAAAUUUAUGAAAUGAUAAAUUAGUUUAUGUUACUCUUUUUUUUUUUUUUUUUUUUUAUACAGAAAUCAAUAUUAGUCUUCGAUGUUUAUCAAUUUUAUCUAAUCCUUAAUAAUUGAAAAAUGCUAAUUUUAAUAUUGAAUAUGUGAACAAACUCACAACAUCAUCCAUAUUAAUGGCAUAAAACAGCAAAAAAUCAAAGUUUACACAUAUGACUAUAUUUAAGUCUCCGGAAUAUCAAUGUCUCCAGAUCUGCAAGACGACUCCAAAGUCAUUGAUUUGAUCUGCACUAGAUCGAAGCUGAUCUGACAAUCUGAAUCGAACAAAUACCUGAACGAAAUAAGAAAGACAAACAAUGUCGCACAAAGACGACGAACAAAACAACGUCGCACUAAGACGACGAAAUCACAAAAGAAAAACCGAAAUAGAUGUGAAAAUUACUUAUUUUAAUAAAGGAAAAUAGAAAAAACGAGUUAGAUUGAUGAUUUUCGAUCAAAUAUUGACCCUAAAUCAUCUAUUCUUUGUGGAUGAAGGAGAAGAAAUUAGAGUUUUGGUGACGGCUCACAAAAGAGAAGGGGAAGAUAGAGCCCGUCUAUGUUAUGGUUCCUAAUUGAUCAGAUUUGUAACUUUGGAGAUGGAUUAUCCAAUUUUUUAUUUGGCAUGAUAAUGAUGUGAUGGGGUUAAUACUUAAUAGGAUUCUAACGUCUCAUUAAUGAUUCCAAAGGGAAGAAUCUGAGAAUAUCCUACAGAAUAUUUGCAAUGACCACAAUGUCGAUAUUCAUUUUAUCGUUUGACGUUGUGUUGCAUAGGACAAAGAAGUUGGAGAUAUAUUGCUAGCCAGUGGCCACCGGGAGUUAAAAAUGCCAAAAGAUUCUUGAUCAAUAGUACUCUCUUUGGUCACGUUUACAGCUAAAAAAUAACUUUUUAGAUUUAUUGAAUAAUUAUUGUAUAUAGUCUAUAAAUAUGACCAAAUACAUUAAUUAUUCAAUGAAUCUAAAAAGUUGUAUUUUAUUUAUAAAUAUGAUCGAAAGAAGUACAUCUUCUGUCCCAAAAUAACUGAGUCAUUUGUAUAAAAAAUGUUUUAACAUAAUUGCUUUUUUUUCAAUAUUAAUUACUUUUUUCAAUUAAAACUAUAAUUGGUACUACUUCAUCAUUCUCAAUUCAAUAUAUUCUGCUUUACAUUUAUGAUAAUGGAAAAUGCUCUGAUACUUGACAGGAUACUAAAAAAAAAAAUUACGGGUCAGGUUUUGUUGAGUCGUUCGUUGAUGGUCCUUCUCCACCAAAGAGGGGUAGUUUACUUGCAUGUGCUUUGACGCCAAAGUCAAUAAAGGUUCAAAAGUUAUGCGGCUAUAAUAUGGGUAAGAAGCAUACCUGUCCCAGGGAUAAAGCAUAGGAAUAAGUAGUGGUCAAGUAGGGCUUGGAUGUCAAGCCUUAUCCAUACUUGGUAGUGAGCAACUCUCGACCUGUGCGUGCAUGAGCAACCCCAGAUCAAUGAGCAACUCUCAGCCCGCACUAUGAAGGAAUAAUGUGCCCCUAAAAAACAUUGAAUAAUGUGAAAAGUUUUUCGUUUAUGAAAUCACACUAUUGAAACAUUGAAUAAGAAAAAAGGUUUAAUGGGCAAAAGCUUCAAUUUUUUUUGGUGUCGGAGUUUAAACCCCAAACCUUACAUAUAUAUGAAUGCAUUAUCCUUAACAGCUGAGCUAAAGUUAGGGUGACAGCAAAAACUUCAUUGAUUCUAUGGAAGCAAAGCCUUAAGAAGAAAAUAAGUAAAAAAAACACAACCAAAUUGACGGUCAAAUCAUUCAAUAGGCCAAAAUAUCUAGUUAUUUAUAUUUUUCGUAGGGUUAUUUGUUUAGAUAUUAAAUUGCUUAAAUCCACAAAAUUAAUCCAUGCGCUUGUACGUUAUAUAUCUUGCUUGAUACUCCAAAGAAAAUAUUCAUUCUUAUCACAUGGAUAAACUCGAAUCUUCUUUAGCUAAUGUUAAUGUCAAUUUCUUAUAUUUAUAUUUACAUAUCUUGACUUUAACCAACUAUUCCACCCUGCAUGAUCUACAUGCCUACCAAUUCCAUUAACAAAGAAAUAUAUUCAUAGCACUUUUUUUUUUUUUAAAGAAUAUAUUGUUAAUACUUGAAUAUAAAUUACUUUUGACAUUUGCCUUUACACAGUUUUUAGAAACAAUUUUUUUGGGUAGUAUAAUAUAUCAAUAGUUGACAUUUUGAUCACAUGGACUACACUUAUCACAAACAAUUUUUAGUUAUUUAUAUGAGAAAUGUUUUUCUAUUGAUAUUGAAAAUGAGAAAAUCAUUUAAAGUUUCCAUAAUAUGAAUAAUUCUAUAGGACAAUUACUAAUGCUACAAAUUUUUAUAUAUAGUGCGCCCACUAUUCAAAAAUCCUGGAUCCGUCACUGAAUGUGACCAUAUCCAAAUUUGUUUCCAUCAUUACAUCAAUAAGUUUUACCAUUGAAUCAAAAUGUAAAAUAGUAUAUUUGUAAAAUAAAAAAGUGAUAUUAAUAAUUUAUUGAUUCAAUAGUAGAAAACAAACUUAUACAUUAUAGAUAUGCAGAACUUAAUUGUUUGUGCAUAAUAGAGAAAAGGAAUGCUAGCAACACACAUUCUAAUACUCACUUUUCAACACACUCUUUUUGAUUGGAUAAAAUUCACAUGAGACCCACCAAAUUCAUAUGAGACCCAGAUGAUUUAGUAGGACUCAUGUGAAUUUUAACCAAUCAAAGAGAGUGUAUUGGAGAAAGCAAGGUGAAAUACAUUUUCGGGUUAAUUUACCUAGACUUUGAACGGAAUAAACUAAUAUACUUUUACCAAAAAU